GGCUCAGAUGGUAAAGAGUCUGCCUGCAAUGCAGGAGACCCAGGUUCAAUCCCUGGGCCA
rnacentral:tRNA from 1 species